rnacentral:rRNA from 1 species
ACUCAAAUGAAUUGACGGGGGCUCACACAAGCGGUGGAGCAUGUGGCUUAAUUCGAGGCUACGCGAAGAACCUUAUCCUGGGCUUGACAUGUGCGAAAGCGGUAGGAAGUAGGGGACGGAAACGCCCCCCCAACGGUAUCCAGUCCGGAACCUACUACAGGUGCUGCAUGGCUGUCGUCAGCUCGUGUCGUGAGAUGUCGGGUUAAGUCCCAUAACGAGCGAAACCCUUGUCCGUAGUUGCGACCAUUCAGUUGAGCACUCUACGGAGACUGCCGGUGUCAAACCGGAGGAAGGCGGGGAUGACGUCAAGUCCUCAUGGCCUUUAUGCCCAGGGCUGCACACGUGCUACAAUGGCGUGAACAAAGGGACGCAAGCCCGCAAGGGGGAGCCAAUCCCAAAAAGCACGCCCCAGUUCAGAUCGGAGGCUGCAACUCGCCUCCGUGAAGUUGGAAUCGCUAGUAAUCGCGGGUCAGCACACCGCGGUGAAUGUGUUCCUGAGCCUUGCACACACCGCCCGU